UAGGGANUCUUCCACAAUGGGCGCAAGCCUGAUGGAGCAACACCGCGUGAGUGAAGAAGGGUUUCGGCUCGUAAAGCUCUGUUGUUAAAGAAGAACACGUAUGAGAGUAACUGUUCAUACGUUGACGGUAUUUAACCAGAAAGUCACGGCUAACUACGUGCCAGCAGCCGCGGUAAUACGUAGGUGGCAAGCGUUAUCCGGAUUUAUUGGGCGUAAAGAGAGUGCAGGCGGUUUUCUAAGUCUGAUGUGAAAGCCUUCGGCUUAACCGGAGAAGUGCAUCGGAAACUGGAUAACUUGAGUGCAGAAGAGGGUAGUGGAACUCCAUGUGUAGCGGUGGAAUGCGUAGAUAUAUGGAGGAACACCGGUGGCGAAAGCGGCUCUCUGGCUUGUAACUGACGCUGAGGCUCGAAAGCGUGGGGAGCAAACAGGAUUAGAUACCCUGGUAGUCCACGCCGUAAACGAUGAGUGCUAGGUGUUGGAUCCUUUCCGGGAUUCAGUGCCGCAGCUAACGCAUUAAGCACUCCGCCUGGGGAGUACGACCGCAAGGUUG
rnacentral:rRNA from 1 species